rnacentral:rRNA from 1 species
CUGGUAUUGAUUGGUGCUUGCAUCAUGAUUUACAUUUGAGUGAGUGGCGAACUGGUGAGUAACACGUGGGAAACCUGCCCAGAAGCGGGGGAUAACACCUGGAAACAGAUGCUAAUACCGCAUAACAACUUGGACCGCAUGGUCCGAGUUUGAAAGAUGGCUUCGGCUAUCACUUUUGGAUGGUCCCGCGGCGUAUUAGCUAGAUGGUGGGGUAACGGCUCACCAUGGCAAUGAUACGUAGCCGACCUGAGAGGGUAAUCGGCCACAUUGGGACUGAGACACGGCCCAAACUCCUACGGGAGGCAGCAGUAGGGAAUCUUCCACAAUGGACGAAAGUCUGAUGGAGCAACGCCGCGUGAGUGAAGAAGGGUUUCGGCUCGUAAAACUCUGUUGUUAAAGAAGAACAUAUCUGAGAGUAACUGUUCAGGUAUUGACGGUAUUUAACCAGAAAGCCACGGCUAACUACGUGCCAGCAGCCGCGGUAAUACGUAGGUGGCAAGCGUUGUCCGGAUUUAUUGGGCGUAAAGCGAGCGCAGGCGGUUUUUUAAGUCUGAUGUGAAAGCCUUCGGCUCAACCGAAGAAGUGCAUCGGAAACUGGGAAACUUGAGUGCAGAAGAGGACAGUGGAACUCCAUGUGUAGCGGUGAAAUGCGUAGAUAUAUGGAAGAACACCAGUGGCGAAGGCGGCUGUCUGGUCUGUAACUGACGCUGAGGCUCGAAAGUAUGGGUAGCAAACAGGAUUAGAUACCCUGGUAGUCCAUACCGUAAACGAUGAAUGCUAAGUGUUGGAGGGUUUCCGCCCUUCAGUGCUGCAGCUAACGCAUUAAGCAUUCCGCCUGGGGAGUACGGCCGCAAGGCUGAAACUCAAAGGAAUUGACGGGGGCCCGCACAAGCGGUGGAGCAUGUGGUUUAAUUCGAAGCUACGCGAAGAACCUUACCAGGUCUUGACAUACUAUGCAAAUCUAAGAGAUUAGACGUUCCCUUCGGGGACAUGGAUACAGGUGGUGCAUGGUUGUCGUCAGCUCGUGUCGUGAGAUGUUGGGUUAAGUCCCGCAACGAGCGCAACCCUUAUUAUCAGUUGCCAGCAUUAAGUUGGGCACUCUGGUGAGACUGCCGGUGACAAACCGGAGGAAGGUGGGGAUGACGUCAAAUCAUCAUGCCCCUUAUGACCUGGGCUACACACGUGCUACAAUGGAUGGUACAACGAGUUGCGAACUCGCGAGAGUAAGCUAAUCUCUUAAAGCCAUUCUCAGUUCGGAUUGUAGGCUGCAACUCGCCUACAUGAAGUCGGAAUCGCUAGUAAUCGCGGAUCAGCAUGCCGCGGUGAAUACGUUCCCGGGCCUUGUACACACCGCCCGUCACACCAUGAGAGUUUGUAACACCCAAAGUCGGUGGGGUAACCUUUUAGGAACCAGCCGCCUAAGGUGGGACAGAUGAUUAGGGUGAAGUCGUAACAAGGUAGC